rnacentral:rRNA from 1 species
GAUGAACGCUAGCGGGAGGCUUAACACAUGCAAGUCGAGGGGCAUCACGGGGUAGCAAUACUCUGGUGGCGACCGGCGCACGGGUGAGUAACGCGUAUGCAACCUACCCUGUACAGUGGGAUAACCCGGAGAAAUUCGGACUAAUACCGCAUAAAGAUAAUCUGAGGCAUCUCAGGCUAUUUAAAGCUUCGGUGGUACGGGAUGGGCAUGCGUAACAUUAGCUAGUUGGCAGGGUAACGGCCUACCAAGGCAAUGAUGUUUAGGGGACCUGAGAGGGUGACCCCCCACACUGGUACUGAGACACGGACCAGACUCCUACGGGAGGCAG